rnacentral:lncRNA from 7 species
GGGUAGCGCACCCUGCUGCUGUGCUCCCGGGGCAGCCACAGUUUACAGGUUUUUAUCCACUGAAUGAGUCUUGAUGCAGACUGGGCUAUCACUAUGGAAAGGCUUAGUAGGAACAAGCUUACUAGAGGUUUGUACUGCGAAUCUAUGCAGAAUCCUACAAAUCCUGUGAAACUGAGGGAAAGGAAAAUUAGAUGUGAAGAAAGUAGAGGUAUAAAUUCCAGAAGAACAUGCUAUUGCUUCAAGUUUCGUUCCAAAAUUCCUACAACAGUCUCCUAUUUUUUUCUGGACACAUGUUUCUGGAAGGAAUUCUUGAUCAGAAACUGUUCAGAGCUAUAAAUCUUGGUUUGAUGGAAUCUGAGGAGAGCGCUGGGCUUAAGACAUCAUUCAGUGUUUCCUACUGAUUGUCCUUUGAGAAAGUCUGUGUUCAGCCGGAUAGCUGUGUUGAUUCAGAAAGGAAUCCACAUAGGAAAAUCAGAUAUAACAUUUAGAUGUGCUUUUCCUUAGGUUCAGUUACUUAAAGAGUUAAGAUUUUUGAUAACUAAGCUCUUCUGUGAAUUUAGGCUUGAGUGAUAUAACAGAGGACUGAAAUCUGCUCAGCCAAAACAACAGGAGAUAAGGAUAUUCAUAAGCUUGGUAUUAUGUUUUCCUUGGUAGUCUGUUAGCACAGGAAAUGUUUAAUUUAUGUUUAUGAAUUAUUGAAUGAAGCCACUGUCCAUUUUUUCUGUUGUCUGGAUUGGGCCCUCUCUGAAGAUUCUGGGAGAAGGAGCAGAUUGGUGUGGAUCUCAGUCUGAAAUCGUAUGCACUGAUUUUCCUUCAUUAAAAGUUACUCCUUUUACCCAUAUCAGAUUUUGUGAAAAGUACAAUAACUUCUCUUUUCUUAGCUUUCUCUUCUCUUCUUAGCUUUUCCCUUCCUGUUCUCUGCUGGAGCCGCUAACACAGUUUGAAUCUUACUUUAAUCAAACAAAACCUAAGUAACAAAAAAUUACGGUAAAUAUGCUGCUUGUUUGCAGGCAGCUGCUUUGAUAAUCAUAAGCUUUUUGUUCCUGGUAAGAUUGGAAUUACACUAAAGUUCAUACUGAUACUUGAUGACUUUCUAGUAGAAAAUUCUGGAUAAAAAUUAUUCUGAUUGUCUACUGAACAAAAAUUUCAAAUAGAUAAGUAUGCCAGAAUAGUCUGAGCCAGUUUAUAAUUUGGGCUUAUGUUUCAUUGUCCAGCACUCCUUCGUUAGAAGAACUGCCUACGUGUUGUUUAAAAAAAUCCAACAAACUAACAUUUGAGUUAUCUGUAGGUACAUCAUUGAAACUAGAAGCUUUCAAAUACAAAAAAUUUUCAACUUAUAUUUUUUAUUUUUAUUAUUUUAAGAUAUUUAUAUGUAAAUAUGCUUUAAUAAAAAUAUCUAGUCAAGGCACGUACUAUUCCCCUUAUAGCAAGCAUCUAACGACUAAGCACUACAUCUUACAUAGUUUAACCAGUUGUUCAAUAUGACAGGACUACAGUCUUUCUUCACUAUUUUUAUUGAGUUGUCUCAAAUAAAUAGGCUCAUGCACCACGUUAUGUCUUGAUGAAUUCUAUUUGAUACCUUUAUAUAUACUCAUUUCACAAAAGGAGCAAUAUGCACGUUUUGCACAAAGUAUAUUAAGAAAGACUUUAGCUUUUUUUAACUGUGCUAAAUGAGUGAUAAGUUAAAAGUAAAUCAUAGAAUAAUAAAUAUACAUAUGGUAUAAGAAGGGAAUGGACACCUUAUAAGUUUGUGGACCAGCGCACAUGCAUAUCAUUUGUAUGCUUGGUGCUGAGAAUUCGCUUGCAAGUGAACCAAGUCUAUGUGUAAAAAUUACUGUGGAUGUUAAACUUGAAAAUAAAAAAUAUUUUAAUGUCUACAUGCAAUUCUAAAAUGAGCAAAAUGAAAAACUACUGUUAGAUGUGGUGUCUUAUGGGAAUAAUAAAUAUAUGUUUCCUUGAUUCUCAGUUUAUACUGAAAGUCAGAUGUAAAAUAGAUGGUUGUUGCAUAGCAGGUGUUGCAUACGUGGAGAUGUAAUCUUGUUUCAUAUGAUGUAAUUUACACACUCUUAAGAAUAAAAAUAAAACGAA